ACAAGAUUUAAUGACAAAAUACUAAGUUUAAUUGCUAGACUAAAGAUGUGGGUUCAGAGGUCUCUCUACUGUACAGACACAAAAGAGAGCCAUAAGACAAGAUAAUGCAGUUUGGGAUUAUACCUGUCAAUCCACAUUUCCCUCGGUUCCUUUAGUGUCUCGGCUGGCUGAGGAGGACGCAGCCCGGCCUUCCCACGGCAGGGCAUGGCCCCGAGCGCUCACAGCUGCACAGCUCUGAUUGCUCGUCCCUCCUCUGGGGGCUCCAGUUCUCCUGCAGGCCCUCGGCCAGGCUGGGAUUCACAGAACCCCAGAACCACCUAGGCUGGGAAAGACCUUCAAGAGCAUCACGUCCAACCACCAGCCUGACCUACCGAGUCCAUCACUAAAUCACGUCCCCGUGUUCCUCACUCCCCGGCGCUCACUGCUGCAGGGACUUGCCAGCUGGGGCUUGAUGGCACAUAGUGGCACUGGGGACAUCUCUGCCAUCGCCUCCUCCUCCUCCUCCCCAAAGCAUUCGGAUGUGUGAGAAACAAAGCUGUUUUUGCAGAAGAAUGUGUUUUCGCAGUGAUCGUUUCCCACAGAUGUGCCUAUUCUGUGGCUUUUUGAUGAGCCGCCCUUCCAAGGCACUGUAUUUCAUGAAGUCCCUGGCUCUCCACAAACACCCUGUGAGUUUUCUCACUGUCCGUGUACCGGGAGCAGCAGAGGCCAGGCAGCAGCCUGUGAAAGCAGAAUUCGAGCAUCUGGCAGGGCCGACUGCGGCAGCGCUGGGAGCCUCCAUUCCAGGACCAGGUCACGCUGGUGUUUUCCAAAGAGCCUGCGGGAGCUUUGCACACACCACGGAUGUGCCCAAUGUGACACUCAUCCAACAAGCACGUAGCCUGGCAGCUUCGGUGCAUGUUCAAUGCAGCUUUUCUGUCAUGUUGUUAUUAAAGACACAGAAAAUACUGUACUGAAUGAGUCUGAUUUCAGAGCUCUGUUGCUUUGAGGGAAUAGCGAAGCUUUGCUGAAACCUCUGCCUUUUUUAACUUUUGGCACCAAACUGUUGCAGAACAACAGGCAAAUCUUAUACCCACCAUGGGCCUUGAUCUUCUUGUGUGUCAGAAGUGACGGUGUGAUGCCAACUCCUUCAUAUAUCAGCUUUACUCCUUCAUAUAUCAGCUUUACAUCAGCUCUUGAAAAGCCCUGUGCAAGAGCUGAUUGUUCUGAUCACGCCGGGUGUUGUACUAUCGUCUUUUAAAAUUAUCCCUGCUACAAAGAGUUAUGAACUAAUUAAACCAGACAGAUUGAAGAGGGGAAAUAAGACCCUGAGAAGUGUGUGACUUCUCCAGGAGUUUCCCAGAGGGCUUACAACAGAGCUAAGAGUGCUCGGGCCACCCGAACCCCACCAGGAGCAGUGCCAGGGGCACCAUCCUGCCUGGGACCAGGUGUGUGCGAAGCAGGCGUUGGGAGCACACCGGGAGAUCUGCGCUUCAGCUCCGGAGCCAAACAGCAAGGCAUUUCAAAGCACUCCUCUGCUGCGAGCUAAAAUAGACGGCGUUGCUGGGCUGGCUGGGGUAUGGAGGGUGACGUGAAGCAAGCAGUGAUGAGAGGCAGCCGCAGGAGGAAUCGUUUUCUAGUUCCUCUGCACGCUGGUAAAGCUCUGCCAGCCGGCCCAGCCGGGUAAUUGGGAACAGAAUUAAACAGGAGAUGUCCAGGCCAGGGCUGAGUCACAGCCGCGGGUAGCAACGGGCCGGCAGGUGGCACAGGCUGGCUCUGCUGGACCCAGACGCGCUCACCUCUCUGCCCAGCGCUUCCUACAGACCUAGAGCCUGCUGCUUCCACGCACGGGUUGCUCCCUACAGCCACAGGAAAAGAGGAAAACCCUUCGGAUGGAGUAAUUCUUCUUGUUCCUUACGUCUACCAGCACCAGCCAGGCUAACAUCAACAAAUGUCACAGAAAGUUUGGUUUAAGCUCUUAAUAUAUGUCAGCUGUAGCUUGUAAAAGCUGCAUUGGCUUUUUAAGCAAAAUAGCCCCAAGAUAGGUUUUACUGUAAUUGUAUCUUCUACAGUUGGCCUUCAGUUUUCUUCCUAGGACUGCCAAACAGGUAAGGUACCAGAAACAGCGUCCGAGCAGAGGAACUGAGGCUGCUGGGCUGCCCACGGAGCAGGGGCAGGCGGGGAACCUCGGGGGCUGUGGCCAGAUCCACCUGGAGCAGGGCUCCAGCAGGGCUCACGCGCCUGCUCCCGGCUCCUGCAGUUUGUUACCGUGCCACCUGCAGCAGCUGGGCCGGAGCGCGGGGGUCCUGCCCUGCAGGUGAGAGCAACUGGGGCUGCAUCGGGAAGCAGGCAGCAUCGGGAAGGAAGGGGCACAAAGAAAUGCAAGGCUGGGUUUGCUCUGUGCUGCUGCCCUUGGAUCAUGGUAGUAGCACAUCACUGCUCAGCCCCUAAUGCCGAGCUUCUUCUUGCUUUGUUUUUCCCCAGAUAGAAAAUCCGUGUGUCCUUUUGGCAAAAGAUACUUUCCUGCCACUGAAAAGGCCAGUUCUGAAACGCUAAGUGUCCUCUUCUUUUUUUUUUCUGAAGGAGGACAACUUUUAUGUUCACGACAGGGCGCACACAGCUCUUCAAAGGACUGCAGGAGCAGCUGGUCCUGCCCGGGGAGAGAAAUGGGAGCAGGUACCCGAAAUCAAGCCAGGGUGCUCCUGGUCCCACUCCAGACAGGGUGCAGUUUUCCUGAUGUGGUCUGAAGCACCUCACUGUUUUGUCUGGGAACAGUCAUCAACAUUUGAUGAUGUUAAUCAGGUGCGUGUUGGUAGGGAAAUGAGGUAUUUGGAGCGAGUAACCCGGGAGUGCUGUGGCAUGCAGUGACCUGGCCAGAGAGGAGGUGGCCAGCCCAAACCACCUCCUGCUGGGGACUGUACAGCACCUAUAGCACAACGAGAGGUAGGGCUUGGUCUGCGGCUUCUGCAUGCUAUUGCAUGCCCUUUUACACACACGUAUCCGUCUAUAAUGGUUUUACUUCCAUGGUCUUUUACAGAGCGCUGAGAUGUCCCUAAGUCACCGGGCCAUUUCCCCAGCCCUCGCCCCUGUGUGGGGUCCCAGGGAAGAGAGCUCCUGCACACGUUUAUUCCAUUUCUUCCACGCUGAGCAGCCCGCGGUGCUGUCCUCUCUUCCUCUCUGCCACGUGUGCCCUCUGCAGGGUGUGCUGCGGUCUGGUGCACUGCCGCGAUUUUGGAGCAAGAGGAGGGGAGCUGGGACACCCGGUGUGUGUCGUCUGUACCCCAGCAGCUCCGUCACUGCCCACAUCUGCUGCACUCAUUCUGAUGUCACAGUAGUGAGGUAACAGCCAGGGAAGAGGGCCUAGGGCAUUUUUCUCCCGAAAAACACGUGCUUUAGUAUUAACCCAGGGGGCACAGCCUGCCGAGAGCGCUACCUCGACUGGGACUGCUGGCACAGCAGCCAGUGCCCACCCCAGGGGGGUGCCAGGGCUUUACGUGGUCCCUCUGCACGUACGCCCCAGUGCCACAGGCUGCCCCCAAGCUCCCAGACAUGGCUUCAGAACCACGUCAGUGCCCGGGGACAUCCCGGGGACGUCGCUGCCUCUCGCAGCAGCUCAGCACGGAGGCCCGGGCGUGCUCCAGCCGGGCAGCGGGCAGCACCACUGUACAGAUCCUGAUUUAUGGAGUGCAGUCCCUACCUCCCUUCCUCUCUUGAAAUAUGAAGUGUUUGUGAGCAGCCAAGCCAGCUUCAUUGCCAUUCCCCGCUGUGAAAGAAGGAACAACGGUUGUUUGGCUUCAGGAGAAUGGCAAGGUGUAACUGCACAUCUGCAAGGUAAGUUUGGGACUAUCACGGGCUUCUCCUGCCGACACACUGGCAAGUACAGAUCCACACUCCUCCAGCCAUGUGGGGCCUGUCAAGCACCCCUGUUCCUGCCGGAGUCUCCAACACCUUUUAAUCAGAUGUUUAUGAUUGGAUUUUGGGGCUGUGGCAGGACAGGAUGCAGUGGGAUGAACUCUGCCGAGCGCUCACUUAAUUGGAUUCAUCGCUGAAGAAGGGAGCCAAAUGAAACACACGUUUUAUUAGGGCUAACGCUCAGCUUUUGUUGUAAAUGUUUUGAAAAAGAAAACACUUUAAAGCCUCGCAGAGAUACUGCUAUUAAUAUAUCAUCCAAAUAACAAGUGAUUAAAACCAACAACAGCUACUACGAAAAUGUGGCUUUGUAGCACUGGACCGCAUGGGAUGCAGCAGGGAAAAUCAUUAUGAGCACACCAGCAGGGUGCAAUUAGAAAUAAAACCAGCUCUGUACAGGCUACAAAAGCAGCAAUAAUCGGUCCGGUCUGUGGCUUAGUAAGGGCUGAAGCCAUUAACCGACGGUGCUAUUUAUUACCAGAGACAGGGACACGACUGGAUUACGGGGUGCAACUUCAGGAUAAGUCAACAGAGGGAGUUCAGUGCCACCGCGGCCAGGCGAGGCGCAGCCUGCGCAUCCCAGCGAGUGGCUGCCCGCUGCCUCUCCAUCUGUCCGUCUGUCCGUCUGUCUGUCCGUCCAUCCAGCGUGGCCUUCCUGCAGCCCCCAUUACAGCAUGUGAAGGGCUGCUGGCGUUGGAGCAGGCUCCUUGGCUCUGAGCUGCGGGCUCGGAUGGAGUCUCUUUGGUGCUGCCCUGUGGACAGACCCAGCAAGGCUGAGCUCUGCUGGGCUUUGGCACGGGUUUAGCAGCGGGGUUAGUUGGGCUUUGCCCAGCGGGUGCCUCCCCAGCUCACCCAGCAGUCUGCAAACGGCCUCACGGAGCAGCCCGUGCAGCGAGCACAGCCAGGCGGCUCCCGAGCAGCAGCCGCGGGAUGCAGCACAAAUGCCCCUGCAGAUGCUUGGUGACCGCUGGGGACCAGACGUAGCGGGCAGCACACAGAACAGACCCCUUCCCAUCCCCAGACAGGAGCAUCUCCUGCAAGCACUUCUACCUGCAAGCACUUCUCUUCCCACCGCUCAUUUUUAAAGCCAGGAGGGCUGAUCACGAUCAAUCCUGACGUAUCGCCAGCUCCUGCCACCCCUCGGCUCAGUUACAAACGAAGCACACGCAACAAGCUUCAGACAGGGGAGAAGACAUCUCAGUUCCUCCCCCUGCCACAGGGUGACCGUGUGGUCCCGGGCAUCUCGCUUCCCCCGGCUUGCCUCAGUUUCCCCCUGCGCUGGCUGGGAGUUGCUGCUGACGGGUGGCGCGUCCACCAGCGAGCCCUUGGCUGCUCCGGUACGAACCUCGGAGCGAAGCUGAUAAACUCAGCCUGUUCCUUUCCCCGGUCUGGAUGCCGUCCAGCAGCUCCCCUGGAAGCAAGGCGGAAAUGCCUUAAUCACCUCGUUUGCAUCCCCGUUUCAAGUUUAAUUUGAUACAGUGCCUUCUCUCCGCAGCCAAAAAAUCCCAAACAUCUCCCAGCCUUUGUUAGCACCGCAAAUCUUGAUCUUUUUCAUUGCUCAGAAAACAAAAGCCGAGUCCCCGUGCCAGGCACGUCCUGCCAAAUGAGCUCCCACUGCCGUGUGCUGGGCUCUGUCCCGGCAGCCAGCUCCCCCCUGGCAGAGGAUGACCCAUGGCAGAGCCCCCCCUGCCCGGCUCCUGUAGGGUCCAUCCCACCCGGGCUCCAUGCUCUGGUCUCUAUCUCUUCCCUGACCCAGGGGCUCCCAUUUUCCCCAUCCCCUUUUUGGAGGAGGACGAUGGGCAGCUCCGUAGGGUCCCAGUUUAGGCAGGCUGGGAGAAAGACUUUGUUUUCAGUCUCUCAGGGCAAUUCCCUCAGGUCUGUGUUUCUGUUUAAGGAAAAGACAGUCUGGCUACACCUGCAGUUUAUCCUGGUACGAGCGGUGUAUUUUGUGGCACAUAAUUCACGAAAAAUAUAUAUCCAAGGAAAGCCAGUUACAGUAGAAGGUGGUGAAAAAGUGAGCGGUCACCAGGACGGACCUUGCCACGCGCCUUGGGCAGCACUGCGUGAAGUGCAGCAAAACCAGGGGGACAAAACGAUUCCCCAAGCUGCCCUGGUGGUCUCUGGGGCUGCACACUUCUGAGACGCACCGAGACACCCUUUGGGUAUUGCACUCCGCCUCACUUGAUCAUGGUAUCAUGGAAUGGUUUGGGUUGGAAGGGAUUGCCUUGGGCACUGCCAGGGAUGGGGCACCCCCAGCUCCUCGGGCAGCCUGCGCCAGGGCCUCACCGCCCUCUGAGUACAGCAUUUCUUUCUAACAUCUAAUCUAAAUCUCCCUUUUAUACUUUCAAACCAACCCCUCGUGUCCUAUUGCUAUCUGCCCGUUGCUCUCCACCUUUUCUAUAAGCUCAAGUACCAAAAAGCCGCUACAAGGUCUCCCCGGUGCCUUCUCUGUUCCAGCCUGCCCAGCCCCAGCCCUCCACCGAGAGGUGCUCCAGCCUCUGAGCGUCCUCGUGGCCUCCCCUGGCCCCGCUCCAGCACCCCCCUGUCCUUGUGCUGGGGGCCCCCAGGCUGGAUGCAGUGCUGCAGAGGGGGAGAACCCCCUCCGGUGGUGACGGAUGACGCAGGGCUCCUAGAGAAAUGGUACUAAAGGCAUAAAUUAAAUAAAGCUUCUGCAGCUCGGGGGGCAGAGGCAGGUGUCUCCCUCUCCGGGCACCCCUUUUUAGCUCCCGGGCUUCACUAAAGCAGAGGGACCGCGGCAGCAGCUCCCCACCAGCUCCCCAGCCGGCUCCGUGCCUGCCACGCUCAGAGCACCGGCUGCAUCCCUUUGGAGCCAUCAGCAGCAGUGCUCAAACAAGCGUUUGCAAACAAAAACUCGCGGAGGCUCAGGGAACACGCAGGAUCGUCACAGAGCGGUUGAACGCACCGACCUGAGCCCGCAGAGCCCGCUG